UACAAAUAAGGCCAUUUGAUACCCAAAUUAUUUUCAGCAAUAAAAAUUUUGCCCAUCCACCUUAAUUAUUUCUUAUAUCUCUUCGCAAUUACAACAAAAAAAUUAUGAUCUCUCUCUCUCCCUCCCCCUCCGUCUCUCCGCCGAAAUACUCUCCACCGUCACAUCGGCGAUCGGAACUGAAUAUCUGACGCACGACGUUGUUUAGCAACUGGAUCUCCGACGCACGAACUGGACCUCUAAUGCACGACGCGGACUGGAACCAGAUCUCCGAUUCUCUCCUCUGCCUCUCUCUCUCCCCCUCCUCUCUCCGGCGAGACACUCUUCUCCACCAUCACGUCGGUGAUUGGAACUGAAUCCCCGACAGGCGCCGUUUCGCGACUAGAUCUUGGACGCACGAAACGGAUCUCCGAUGCACGACGGCGAUUAGAACCAGAUCUCUGAUUCUCUCCUCUUCCUCUCAACUCCACCGGUCACGUCUCCAUCUCAAGCUCCCUCGACGAUUCCCUCAGAUUCCUCCAUCUUAAGUGUGUUUUGAUCGUACACCUUCUAUGUUCAUAGUCGUCGUCCUCCAUAGCUUCGGCUUCAAGCUUGCAAACUCGAAGUUGAUGCAAAAGGUGCUCCUUUCCAUUAUGUGGAAGAAGAUUCCCUUCCAAAAGCACAGAGAGGAGGAAGAGGCCAAGAAAAAGAAGCGGUCAAGCCAGAGAAGUUUUACUGUGUUCGAGGCACGCCUACUACAAUCCCUGCAAAAUGUGUUAUUGCUCCGAUUACGAUAGGCUCUCGAGCGAGAAGAAUUCUUCCCCUUUGCAUUUGUAGUGGUAGAUUUUGAAACUCAUGUGAAUUUGGAUAUUGAAGUCUCCAUUGGCCAAGAGAUCAUUCGGCUAACCAAAAAACGUGGAAAUGAAGUCACGUGCUGAAGGUGGCAAAAUUAUGCCUAUGAAAUUAGGGCGUGCUAUUGAAAAAUGACAGUAGCAUUACAACAUUGACAGUGGCUUUAUAUACAAGUAUUGUAAUAGAUUUUCACAACUAUAUUAGUGGCUUUUUACAACUAUGGAAGUAGCUUUUUAUAUAGUUAUAUCAUUGUUGAAUCCUGGAUACUUUUUGUAUCAUUGAAUAUGAUUUCUUUUCUCAAUUGUAGUAGCAUUUUUAUUUUUGUUGUAUCCUUUACAUUUCUAUAGCUUUGUCAGUCUCUGAGAAUAGCUUUAUCA